rnacentral:rRNA from 1 species
UACGGGGGGAGCAAGCGUUGUUCGGAUUUACUGGGCGUAAAGGGCGCGCAGGCGGCCACCCCACCCCAGUUGCGAAAUCUCUGGGCUUAACCCAGAAAGGUCAACUGAUACUGCGGGGCUAGAGUGCAGAAGGGGCAACUGGAAUUCUCGGUGUAGCGGUGAAAUGCGUAGAUAUCGAGAGGAACACCUGCGGCGAAGGCGGGUUGCUGGGCUGACACUGACGCUGAGGCGCGAAAGCUAGGGGAGCGAACGGG